UUGAAAGGGAAACGAUUGAAGUCAGUCGUACCGACGAGAAAUCAGCUUAUCGUGUGUUAACUUGUGGGCGUGCGUGAGUUUCGGCCUCGCUGUUUGCAUGUUUGUGCGCUUUGGGUGUACUUUUUCGUAUGGUUGGCCAACAUCAGUUUCGAUCACUAUAAAAUGACUGGCGGAAUGUAGCUUCGAUUUCGGUUGAAGUGUUAUAGCCUUUGGUAGAUGUGGUGAUUGAGACUGAGGAUUGCAACGAAUAUCCUUUGGGCUAUCCGUCUGGCCUCUGAAAGUUGCUUGGGUGCUGAAAGCUUGCUUAUGGUUAUCUAAGUUAACGGUCAAUAGGUUAGAACGUGAUUACAUUCGUUAAGGAUGUUGACGUA
rnacentral:rRNA from 1 species